rnacentral:rRNA from 1 species
AACGCGAAGAACCUUACCCGGGCUUGAACUGCCAGCGGACGAUACAGAGAUGUUGAGGCCUUUCGGGGCGCUGGCGGAGGUGCUGCAUGGUUGUCGUCAGCUCGUGCCGUGAGGUGUCGGCUUAAGUGCCAUAACGAGCGCAACCCCUCUCUUCAGUUGCCAUCAGGUUAAUCUGGGCACUCUGGAGACACUGCCACCGCAAGGUGUGAGGAAGGUGGGGAUGACGUCAAAUCAGCACGGCCCUUACGUCCGGGGCUACACACGUGUUACAAUGGGUGAUACAGAGCGUCGGCUUGCCGCAAGGAGAGUCUAAUCGCGAAAGUCAUCCUCAGUUCGGACUGGGGUCUGCAACCCGACCCCACGAAGCUGGAUUCGCUAGUAAUCGCGCAUCAACCAUGGCGCGGUGAAUACGUUCCCGGGUCUUGUACACACGC